GUGUUCGUAGCUCAGCUGGAUAGAGCAACGGCCUUCUAAGCCGUAGGUCGGGGGUUCGAAUCCCUUCGGGCACA
rnacentral:tRNA from 1 species